rnacentral:tmRNA from 1 species
GGGGCUGAUUCUGGAUUCGACGGGAUUUGCGAAACCCAAGGUGCAUGCCGAGGUGCGGUAGGCCUCGCUAAAAAACCGCAAAAAAAUAGUCGCAAACGACGAAAACUACGCACUAGCAGCUUAAUAACCUGCUUAGAGCCCUCUCUCCCUAGCCUCCGCUCUUAGGACGGGGAUCAAGAGAGGUCAAACCCAAAAGAGAUCGCGUGGAUGCC